ACUUGCACUGGCGUCUCUGAGAGAAAAGGAAGGUCAUGACUGCCCAAGUCUUGCCUGCUGAGACCUAUUGUCAGAUUUGUAGCAGGCUGGGGGUGGUGUUCCUCUUCUGUCUUUUUUUUAGGGUCCUGGGACCUCUGGGGGGCAGAUCAGAGUCUCCGUGCAUCAUCGGAAAGUCCCUCAGCAGGAAGGAAAUGUGUGAAGUCUUCCUAGAGUCACAAAAUCCUAGCCAUGGUGUCUUAUUGGGGACAAAUUCAUAGUGAGCUUCCUCUCCUGCCGCAAACGCAGAACCUCUGUCCUGACUUCUUUGGUCAUACACGUGAGUUGUGUGCUCUUGAACUUAGUCUUAGCAAAGUCACAUGACUUUAUAAAACAUGUGAUUGUUAAUAGCUUCCUCUUUUUUCAUUAUUGAGCAAUACUCCAAGGUGUGACCAGCAAGCUGUGAAUCUAUUCACCACCCCUAGUCAUGCAGACUACUGGUUCAUUCACCACAGUGAUCAUUCAGGAGGCUUCUCGCCCUUUCAAGACCCAUCCUGACCUGUGACCAUGCAGACUUCUGGUGUUUGGUGCUCAUGAAUUACACCUUCUGGUGGUGUCUACAGUUCUUCUACUUCCCUUGGGUAAAUACUUAUGAGUGAACUUGCCAAGUCAAAAAGUAAGUACUUUUUGUUUCUUAUUAUUUUAUUUUAAAUGUCUCUGCAUUACUAAGGCUCCAGCCCACAUCCCUGAAUAUCAUCUACCACCGAGUUAUCCACCAGUACUCAUGUUUAUUGUUUUUAAAAAGAUUCAUUUAUUUUAUUUUAGUGUGUGUGUGUGUGUGUGUGUGUGUGUGCAUGUGUGUGUGUGCUUGCGCAUCUGAUCCUCUGAAGCUGGAGUUAACAGGAGCACCUGGUGUACUCACGGAAUCAAACUGUUAAUAUGGAAGAGCACUAGACACACUCCUAAUUACUGACCCACCUCCAGGCCCUAUGUUUGACUUUGAAAGUAAGUUUCAGGGGCUGAGGAGAUGGCUCAGUGGUUAAGAGCACUGACUGGUCUUUUGAAGGACUCAAGUUCAGUUAGGAGCACCCAUGUGGUGGUUCAGUCACCCAAGACUCCAGUUCCAGGGGAUCUGGUGCCCUCUUCUGGCCUCUCUGAGAAUCUGCAGUCAUGUGCACCUUUCCCACACAGACACACAACUUUAAAUAAUUAAAUGUAUAUACAUAUACAUAUACAUCAUAUACACAUACAUAUGCCUAUACAAAUGUGUGUAUACAUAUAUAUAUAUAUAUGUAUAUAUAUGGGAUAUAUAAAUUAUAUAGAUACAGUCACAUCAACAAAGUGCUCUCUGGUUUGCUCUACAUCCUUGUCAACACUUAAUACUGUUGUUCUUUUUAAUUUCAGCUAUUCUAUUGGGUACGCUGGUAAAUCAUUUGACUCUGAUUGGUGAUUUGCUAACGCUGCUGGUCAUUCUUUCCUAUGAUUGGGGGCAUCUCUGUAUUUCCUCUUGUGACCUGGUAUUUCCUAUUUUGGUUGCCUUUCUGACUUUGCUGUUGGUCAUGGGACAUAUUACAUACAAAGAACAAAAGCCCAAGGCUGAGAGAUGGUAAAGAGAUUGGACUAGACUCUUGGUGGGUAAAGUGCUUGCCACGAAAACCUCGUGAGCUGAAUUUGGAUCAAUAGAACUUACGUAAAGCUGGACACAGUAAGAUACACACAUGUCAUCAAGCAUUCAUAUGGUGACAUGGGAGGCAGGCAGCAAAAAUCCCUGCAGGCUUGCAGGCCAGCUAGCCUGGCAGACACAGCUGAGAACAAGAGACUGCCUGGAACCAGGCGAAGACUCCUGAGAUUGCCUUCUGCAUGCAUACGCCUGAACUCAUACCCACUGUAUGUACAGAAGGAACGAGAGCCCUCUGUUAGAUGUGAAAACUGAAUCCUUAAAAUUGUAGCAUGCCAGUGCUUUCCCAUUCUUUCGAUAAACAAGUUUUAACUG
ensembl:lincRNA Gm13404 predicted gene 13404